UACGAGUGCCCCAAGCGUUAUCCGGAAUCACUGGGCGUAAAGCGUGUGUAGGUGGCUGUGUUAGUCUCUCGUUAAAUUCUUCGGCUUAACCGGGGGCAUGCGAGGGAAACGGCACAACUAGAGGAUGCAAGGGGUCUGCGGAACUCAUGGAGUAGGGGUGAAAUCCGUUGAUAUCAUGGGGAACACCAAAAGCGAAGGCAGCAGACUGGUGCAUUCCUGACACUGAAACACGAAAGCGUGGGUAGCGAAUGGG
rnacentral:rRNA from 1 species